rnacentral:rRNA from 1 species
UACGAAGGGGGCUAGCGUUGCUCGGAAUCACUGGGCGUAAAGCGCACGUAGGCGGCUUUUUAAGUCAGGGGUGAAAUCCUGGAGCUCAACUCCAGAACUGCCUUUGAUACUGGCAACCUAGAGACUGGAAGAGGUUAGUGGAAUUCCCAGUGUAGAGGUGAAAUUCGUAGAUAUUGGGAAGAACACCAGUGGCGAAGGCGGCUAACUGGUCCAGCACUGACGCUGAGGUGCGAAAGCGUGGGGAGCAAACAGG